rfam:Myotis brandtii contig153013, whole genome shotgun sequence.
GCUAGUAUAGCUCUGUGGUAGAGCAUUGGCCUGCACAACCAAAGGUCGUGGGUUCGAUUCCUGGUCAAGGGCA